ACCUAGCCCUGAUAGGAGUGAAAAUCCUUUUGUUACCCUGUCAGGGUUUCGAACCUGACAGGGUAAUAAAAGAUUGUAACGGAUAGCAGGAAAUAGC
rnacentral:sRNA from 1 species